rnacentral:rRNA from 1 species
GACGAACGCUGGCGGCGUGCUUAACACAUGCAAGUCGAACGGAAAGGCCCUGCUUUUGUGGGGUGCUCGAGUGGCGAACGGGUGAGUAACACGUGAGUAACCUGCCCUUGACUUUGGGAUAACUUCAGGAAACUGGGGCUAAUACCGGCUAGGAGCUCCUGCUGCAUGGUGGGGGUUGGAAAGUUUCGGCGGUUGGGGAUGGACGCGCGGCUUAUCAGCUUGUUGGUGGGGUAGUGGCUUACCAAGGCUUUGACGGGUAGCCGGCCUGAGAGGGUGACCGGCCCCAGUGGCACUGGGGUACGGCCCAGACUCAUACGGGAGGCAGCGGUGGAAAAUAUUGCACAAUGGGCGGAGGCCUGGUGCAGGAACGCCGCGUGCGGAAUGACGGCCUUCGGGUUGUAAACCGCUUUCGCCUGUGACGAAGCGUAAGUGACGGUAAUGGGUAAAGAGACACCGGCUAACUACGU